rnacentral:lncRNA from 1 species
AAGAACAACUGAAAAUCAAUUUAGGUUGCAUAUGUGUCAUGUGUGGAGAAGAACCCUCUAGCUAAUUCGUCACUUAUCAUUUCACCUUAAUUUCAUGCUUUUGUCAAUUCUGUAAUUUAUUUAAGUUUAAUUUACGUCUCGUCAAAACCAAACCCCCCCCAUUAUUAAAUUAUAUUAUUUAGUUAGUUUUCAUUGUUGUUAGUCUUUUAAUUCAAUUUCCAUCCAUUUCAAUUCCUAGUGUUUAAUUUGAUUGUUUUCAUUAUUUUUGAGUCAUUCUAAGUGUGUUUCGAGUUAUUAGAGUUUUUUAGCCUAAUUUUGUGUCCUUGAGUCUUGUUUAAUAUUUUUAAAUUAAUUUAGAAUAGAUUAGCAAUCCCUCCUAAUCCCCG